AGGUCUGCCUGCCCGUGAUUUAAUUUAACGGCCGCGGUAUCUUAACCGUGCAAAGGUAGCAUAAUCAUUUGUUCUUUAAAUUAGGACUAGUAUGAACGGCACCACGAGGGUUUAACUGUCUCCCUCUUUUAAUCAAUGAAAUUAAUCUUCCCGUGAAAAAGCGGGAAUAUUAUUAUAAGACGAGAAGACCCCAUGGAGCUUUAAACUUAUUACCACUUAUUUUAUAAUAUAACAUAGUACUCAAUAAAAGUGUUCUUCAAUAGUUUUUGGUUGGGGCGACCCUGGAGAAAAAUCAAUCCUCCAGACUGAAAGGAGCAUAAACCUUAUAUAAGAACCACAAUUCAAAUAAACAAAAAUUUGACAAAACUGACCCAGAGUAAACUGAUCAGUGAACCAAGUUACCCUGGGGAUAACAGCGCAAUCCAUUUUGAGAGCCCAUAUCGACAAAUGGGUUUACGACCUCGAUGUUGGAUCAGGGAAUCCCAGCAGCGCAGCCGUUGCUAAUGGUUCGUUUGUUCAACGAUUAAUACCCUACGUGAUCUGAGUUCAGACCGGA
rnacentral:rRNA from 1 species